GUUUUUGUAGAUCAGAUCAACAUGAAUUGCAAGGUGAUGUUUUUGUCUGAAUUGGUGAUUUUGUUCUGCCUUAUUGGUCAAGGUCUACAAUUCAAGCUUAUCGUUUCAACUUAUGGUAAGAUUAAAGAAGUAAACUUGCAGACUAGGGCCGUCACACAUCUUUUGACCGAUCUGGGAAGUGAAAUUAAUUCUAUGGAUUAUGAUUAUGAAAAUGAAUACAUUUAUUUUCCAAGAUACAGUAAAAACGACAUUUUAAGAUUUCAUUAUCCAUCAAACUAUACGUACCAGACAGAAAAUGUCACAAUGGCAAAUAACCCUAUAGGUAUAGCAAUUGACCCGGUAUACCACCAUGUGUAUUGGAUAGAACGAUAUACGGGAAAGCUUUAUCAGAGUAAUAUGGAUGGGUCAAAUCAAUUGUUAAUAUUACAGGAUGAUCCAAUGUUUGCUUUAACAUUAGAUGUUACU